rnacentral:rRNA from 1 species
UACGGGGGGAGCAAGCGUUGUUCGGAUUUACUGGGCGUAAAGGGCGCGUAGGCGGUCACUACAAGUCAGUUGUGAAAUCUCCGGGCUUAACUCGGAAAGGUCAACUGAUACUGUGCGACUAGAGUGCAGAAGGGGCAACUGGAAUUCUCGGUGUAGCGGUGAAAUGCGUAGAUAUCGAGAGGAACACCGGUGGCGAAGGCGGCCAACUGGACGAAUACUGACGCUGAGACUCGAAAGCGUGGGGAGCAAACAGG